rnacentral:misc_RNA from 1 species
AAGUCGUAACAAGGUUUCCGUAGGUGAACCUGCGGAAGGAUCAUUAUUGAAAUAAACCUGAUGAGUUGUUGCUGGUUCUCUCUAGGGGGAACAUUGUGCACACUUGUCAUCUUUAUAUCACCUCCUGUGCACUUUUUUUGUAGGCGAGGAUUGACCUCCGAGUCUACGUUUCUUCAUAUACCCCAAUGUAUGUUAUAGAAUGUAAUAUAAUGGGCUUUUGUUGCCUAUAAACCUUUAUACAACUUUCAGCAACGGAUCUCUUGGCUCUC